rnacentral:rRNA from 1 species
CAGCCCCUACGGGGGGCAGCAGUGGGGAAUAUUGGACAAUGGGGGGAACCCUGAUCCAGCGACGCCGCGUGAGUGAAGAAGUAUUUCGGUAUGUAAAGCUCUAUCAGCAGGGAAGAAAAUGACGGUACCUGACUAAGAAGCCCCGGCUAACUACGUGCCAGCAGCCACGGUAAUACGUAGGGGGCAAGCGUUAUCCGGAUUUACUGGGUGUAAAGGGAGCGUAGACGGCAGGGCAAGUCUGGAGUGAAAGCCCGGGGCCCAACCCCGGGACUGCUUUGGAAACUGCCAUGCUAGAGUGCUGGAGG